UACGAGGGGUGCAAACGUUAUUCGGAUUUAUUGGGCGUAAAGGGUGUGUAGGCGGCAUGUUGUGUCUGUUGUUAAAUCCUCCAGCUUACCUGGAGAAAUGCGGCGGAAACUAAUGUGCUAGAGGAUGGAAGAGAGAAGUGGAAUUCCCGGAGUAGCGGUAAAAUGCGUAGAUCUCGGGAGGAACACCAAUGGCGAAGGCAGCUUCUUGGUCCAUUCCUGACGCUGAGACACGAAAGCGUGGGGAGCAAACAGG
rnacentral:misc_RNA from 1 species